UACAGAGGUGCCAAGCGUUUGUUCGGAUUUAUUGGGCGUAAAGGGUGCGUAGGCGGUCAUACAAGUCGGUUGUGAAAUUCCGGAGCCUAACUCCGGAACUGCAUUCGAAACUGUAUGGCUCGAGGUCUGGAGAGGUAAUUGGAAUUCUCGGUGUAGCAGUGAAAUGCGUAGAUAUCGAGAGGAACACCAGAGGCGAAAGCGAAUUACUGGACAGAACCUGACGCUGAGGCACGAAAGCUAGGGGAGCAAACGGG
rnacentral:rRNA from 1 species